CCUUCGAUAGCUCAGUUGGUAGAGCGGUGGACUGUAGUUUGAUUGUUUGUGUGAUAAAAGACAUCCAUAGGUCGCUGGUUCGAUUCCGGCUCGAAGGA
rnacentral:tRNA from 1 species